AUCUAAGGGCCACACUUUAGAUUUCUAUUUACCCUAUCAUUAGACAGAGGAAUGAGCGUACGCUCACUUGCAGUAUCUAUAUAUAAAUACACAAUUGACUAGCAAGUAUUUAGUUGAUCUGAGAUUGUAGAACAUGGCUUGUAUGACUCUACAUCACUAGAAUUGGUGAAUGCAGGUUGCCGAGGCAAAGGUAGACUGGUAGUAUCACUAGUGAGCAUAGCAACUACCGCUGCCAUUGUUGGUCGAUCUUCCAUAUCUUCUUGAACACAUAGCAGACCGAUGUGGACACCUCUGAUCAUUUCAUUUAUGGAACAGGAUUCUUUUAAAGCUGGAUCCAUUAAUUUCAAAGGUGUUCCAUUUCUCCAAUAUCUCCAAGCAAUAUCUAGAAGGCCUUCACCAGAUUCUGAUUUAGAACUGCUGUUUCUCUUGCUGCUUAUAAUCUCUAAAAUCAGGACACCAAAACUGAAAACAUCGGAUUUCACUGAGAAGUUUCCGAAUGUUACAUAUUCCGGAGACAUGUA
rnacentral:misc_RNA from 1 species